UUUCCCUCAGGAUAGCUGGCACUCGCUUGAGCGAGUCUCAUCUGGUAAAGCGAAUGAUUAGAGGCCUUGGGGCCGAAACGACCUCAACCUAUUCUCAAACUUUAAAUGGGUGAGAUCUCUGGCUUGCUUGAACAUGAAGCCACGAGAGUUUUGGAUCAGAGUGCCAAGUGGGCCAAUUUUGGUAAGCAGAACUGGCGCUGUGGGA
rnacentral:rRNA from 2 species